rnacentral:ncRNA from 1 species
AGAUAACUCCGAGUCCUCACGGCGAGGAUAGGAGUAACGGCUGUGUGGCACAGCCAUCGACAUACUUGUUCGACCGCGAGAGCGGGACGUUCAACACGAGAGAACAGGUCGUGUCGUAGACCGGCAAAUAUCCCACCUUGCGGUACGGGAAGCCCCGCCGUUCACGCCGGGGA